GCGCUCUCUUCGGCAACACACACACUAACACCGGACUGAUACAGGGAAGAUCAGCAGGGCCCCUGCCCAGGAACGUCACACAGACACAUGAAAUAUUCCACAUUUUU
ensembl:snRNA U6 U6 spliceosomal RNA